CAGCUCUUCAAGACAGGUAAAAAAACACUUCUUAGAAAACUGUUUGAAGCCAAAACCUAGUCUGGAAAUGUACAUUUUAGAUGGAGUUAACGUAGCUUAUAGCAUCAUGCUAUAAUGCUAUAACUUAGCAUUAUAGCAUGAGCUGGUUUGUGCUGGUUAGCCUGGUAAAAUAACGUUACCUUUACGUUACUAACUCUGAUGUAUUAUAUAACUGGCAUAUUGCAACGUUAUAAGUUACGUGUCUGUAAAUGAGGUGAAAGAUAGGAAAAUAUGAUGUUGUUAUUUUUUGAGCUGGUUCGGAAUUAACGUUAGCUAAGGUGCUAAUUUUACCGUUGAAGGUUUUAGCUUGACUUUUGCCGCUUAAUCUUCCUCGGGCGGCUUUGGGUUGAGAUGCGCUCAGUGCUGAGUGUCUGUUAGCAUUGUUGUUACAUCCUUUGUCGAACAAUAUAACCUUAACUGAUAAGUGAUCCCCCCCCCUUUUCUUUUUUUUACAUCUAAUGACUGUUCAUUUGUUUAAACCAUGAUCUUGCAAACGUUAAAAGUGCAGAUUAGCUACGUAGGUCAGCAAGGAUGAAUUUCUAACAUUGUUCUUUUUUUUUCUUUUCUUCAGAUGGCUUUUUUUUUCACUCCCAAGCUUUUUCCCUCCAAGUGGCUGUGCAGUUCUGUCCUGCUGACUGCUAACAUAGCUUAAUCUCUUCAAAAGACAAGACAACAGGUAUCUUCCACCAAGAUGUCUGUUGAAAUGGAAAUGACCUUACCCACUACACCAAGGGUAAUCAUGCUUGGAAAUAGCUUGAUGUCUGCAACCCGGUGGAUGGUCAGUAUGGAGGAGAAGGUAUUUUUCGAGCCUGAGCAACUACAUGAUUUUGCCAGCGUCCUUGCUGUCGUUUUUGGGUCAUAUUAUGUCUUCAA